UACGUAGGGGGCAAGCGUUGUCCGGAAUCAUUGGGCGUAAAGCGCGUGUAGGCGGUUCGAUUAGUCUGCUGUGAAAGUCGGGGGCUCAACCCUCGAAUGCCGGUGGAUACUGUCGGGCUAGAGUGCGGAAGAGGCGAGUGGAAUUCCUGGUGUAGCGGUGAAAUGCGCAGAUAUCAGGAGGAACACCAAUUGCGAAGGCAGCGCGCUGGGACGUUACUGACGCUGAGACGCGAAAGCGUGGGGAGCAAACAGG
rnacentral:rRNA from 1 species